ACGCUCGACACCUACGGGAGGUAGCAGUGGGGAAUAUUGCACAAUGGGGGAAACCCUGAUGCAGCGACGCCGCGUGAGUGAAGAAGUAUUUCGGUAUGUAAAGCUCUAUCAGCAGGGAAGAAGAUGACGGUACCUGAGUAAGAAGCCCCUGCUAACUACGUGUCAGCAGCCGCGGUAAUCUGAGCGGGCUGGCAAGGC
rnacentral:rRNA from 1 species